GGUUUAUUGAGCCCUAUAUGCUGCCAGUGUGGUAUUUGGCCAUUAUGGGAAGCAGCUUUGCAAGUGUGGGAAAAGACCACAGAGGAAGCAGUUAGACUAUGGCACAGAUCAAGACCGUGCAGCAACUGUUUGCAAAACCUGCUAUCACAAGAAAUGCUUCAGCACCUGGGAUUGCUCUAAGUGCUGCACAAUCAAAAGGAGAACAGUCCUGAAGAGAAGUCCGUCGCCAAGUCUACAGCAGACUGAAAGGAAACCAGUGCAAUGAUAAGUUUUGUUUUAUACCUCAAUCUGUAUAUUAUGCACAGAAGUUUAUUUAAGAAAUUAAAUUUAAAUAUUACAUUUU